rnacentral:rRNA from 1 species
UACGUAGGGUGCGAGCGUUGUCCGGAAUUAUUGGGCGUAAAGGGCUCGUAGGCGGUUUGUCGCGUCGGGAGUGAAAACACUGGGCUUAACUCAGUGCUUGCUUCCGAUACGGGCAGACUAGAGGUAUUCAGGGGAGAACGGAAUUCCUGGUGUAGCGGUGAAAUGCGCAGACAUCAGGAGGAACACCGGUGGCGAAGGCGGUUCUCUGGGAAUGUCCUGACGCUGAGGAGCGAAAGUGUGGGGAGCGAACAGG